ensembl:lncRNA
CGGCAUGAGAGAAGGUGAACAGCUUGUGAUAUGCAUCGCCGAGAAGAAUCUAGUUUCAAAGUCCCUGUAAAUAGCAUGUAGCCAAUGAGUUUUCACGGUGAAGUUGGAGUAAAAGGCUGCAAUAAAACCUGUCAAAGGAAACCACUGGUGUCUGCCGACUGCUUUUAGAGGGAUUUAUAAGAAUCCAAGGGCCCCACAGCCGGGGUCCUGAUAGAAGUCUUUCGUGUUUGAUACCUGCAUUGGGAGGUAUAGGUUGGAGAAAUCUUUGUGGUUCAUACGACCGCAUCAGACCAUCUACUAGGAACAAGCAUAAUUCUCGAGUCAGGCCAGACCAAUAAGAAAGCCAUUGUAAAGAAAGAA